AACAAUUCCUCCUCCCAACCAAUACAACCUUUUCCGCUCCACUAACCAUAAUCAGAGUGACAUAAGAUAUUUUCUAGAAAUGACAACAUUUAAUGGCUCUCCAUUUCAGGUUUUGAUAAUGGUAAUGGCUAUAGGCUUGUUUUGCAUGACAAAAAUUCUGGCACAAGAUUCAGAAAUAGCGCCCACAUCACAAUUGGAAACUGGAACUGGAUUUGCUUUGCCAAUUUCUGUGGUGAUCAUGUUUUGUUCUGUGCUUGCUUCUUUUAUGGCAUUUAUGAUGCACUGA